GGAACUCCCGGAGCUGCUCUACGUCUUACAGAGCGCCUCCUCCCCGAGGGAGGGUGAGAGCCUCCCUUCCGACACUCGGCGGAGCUUAGCAGUAUCCUAACUUUCGCAAAGGCGACCCUCCCUUCCAGCAGGCUGCACAACCAGCCUCACGCCGGCUCCCAAGGACCUCCGCCCGGAAAGAGCAGCUGUGGGGCUGAGUCUCUGCCACUCUCCGCGCAGGGCAGUGACUGCGUGUGCUCGCAGGCGCUACCUGCAGCCUCGGGAGGAGACGUACCACCGCAGCCCCACGAGCCGCGCCCUCGCCCAGACAGCGCUCCCCGGCCGAAGACCGGAGCAUCCCGACGGCUGCAGCAUGGAUGAAGUACAUCGUAUGAAGCAGUAGAAACUGGAUUCCACCUGUUGACAUCUGAGCUGGCAAUCAGUGCAGCUAUUCUACUUCUUAUUGUCAUCCGUCUUGGAGACACUCAGCCAGCGAACACUUCAUUACACCAGAGGUGGUCUUUCAGUCUUCAAAGUAAGACUCCUUGUGAGUAACAGAACAUGAUAAAAGAAAUUCUAGAAUCAGCAUGGAAAAAGAAUGAUUCAUUGGAAGCAGUUCAGAAGUGGAGAAGCCAGACUGAAUUGAAGAAUCUAACUAAUUGGACAAAGGGUUUAAGUGUUUGAAAUGCUUGAUCUCUUGAUUUUGGCUUGUUUAAAACUGAGACUCAGUAAGUUACAACAUUUGUUUUUCUUAGCUUAUAGAAAUGACACCGCAAAAUGUUAAGACAUUAAACAAACUAGUGCAAAUUCAGUGGGUUUAUUUGCUUGUUUGUUUUGGAGAUUUUUUUUCUGUGCUUUGAAUGUAUGCUUGUUUUGUGGAAGAAAGCCUAUUCUUUAUAUAAGAGCUCCCAGCAGAGGCUGCAUCUAAAACACUUAACAUUCCAAAGUAUAAUAACACAUGUAAACUCUGUUGGGUGAGGCUUUCUGGGUGAGGCUUAGCUAGCUAUACGAGAUCUAGGAUUAAUAACAAUAAAAAGUUGUUGAAAUUGUCA